rnacentral:rRNA from 2 species
CUCCUGGGAAGGCCUCGUGUUGCAACC